rnacentral:rRNA from 1 species
AGAGUUUGAUUCUGGCUCAGGAUGAACGCUAGCUACAGGCUUAACACAUGCAAGUCGAGGGGCAGCAUUUGAAAGCUGCUUCAAAGAUGGCGACCGGCGCACGGGUGAGUAACGCGUAUCCAACUUCCCUUAGUAGGGCAUAGCCCGGUGAAAAUCGGAUUAAUACCCUAUGUUCUUCGUAGAGGACAUCUGAAAUGAAGCAAAGGUUCACCGCUAAGGGAUGGGGAUGCGUCUGAUUAGGUAGUAGGCGGGGUAACGGCCCACCUAGCCGACGAUCAGUAGGGGUUCUGAGAGGAAGGUCCCCCACAUUGGAACUGAGACACGGUCCAAACUCCUACGGGAGGCAGCAGUGAGGAAUAUUGGUCAAUGGGCGAGAGCCUGAACCAGCCAAGUAGCGUGCAAGGAUGACGGCCCUAUGGGUUGUAAACUGCUUUUAUAUGGGGAUAAAGUGAGCCACGUGUGGCUUUUUGUAGGUACCAUAUGAAUAAGGACCGGCUAAUUCCGUGCCAGCCGCAGC